rnacentral:rRNA from 1 species
UACGUAGGUGGCAAGCGUUGUCCGGAUUUACUGGGCGUAAAGAGCGCGCAGGCGGUCGUUCAAGUCGCGUGUGAAAGCCCCCCGGCUCAACUGGGGAGGGUCACGCGAUACUGAUCGACUCGAAGGCAGGAGAGGGUAGUGGAAUUCCCGGUGUAGUGGUGAAAUGCGUAGAUAUCGGGAGGAACACCAGUGGCGAAGGCGGCUUUCUGGGCCCUACCUGACGCUGAGACGGCGAAAAGCGUGGGGGAGCGAACC